rnacentral:lncRNA from 1 species
GACAGCCUGUCAGCGGCUGCUCUGGAGCCUGGGGCCUGCUCCGUGCGCCCUGUCUGCCCUCCGCGGGCCGUGCUGUCCAGGCUGGCCCGACAGCCUGACUCGAGACACCGGGAUGCCUGUCCACGCCUCCACUCCCGGGCCACUUCCCCGUGGGGCGGGCAGUGGGGCAGGGCGGGGUGGGAAUCUGCUGCAACCAGGGAAGGGAAUUGCCCCCCGGGCACAGAGAGUUUGGAGCCUGGGGUACUGUCACCAACAGCCCAGGACCCCGCAGCUGGGCCCUCCCCUAGAGUCUUCCUGCAGCAGGGCUCUCCUCCCGAAGGGCUGUGAAUGUUCCUCGGAGGUGGGGCUAAGCUAGAGCCCAGAGGUUUGCCCUGGGCACGGAUCCCCCAGGUCACUCGCCUCCCAUGGGCUGCAGUGAAGGAGGCUUUGAAGGGAGGAUGGCCGCCUCCUCCCCUGCAAGGAUAUGAGCCCCAGGGAAGGCAUUCCUGCUCUGGGGAUUGCCUCCCUCCCAGACAUCACAGCCAGCCCUUGCAGAAGCUUGGCCAAGCUGACCACUCUGUCAGUGAUCUCUGCAAGGGAAGCUGAAAGAACAUCCAGCCCCAAUUGUGUUCCCUUUCUGCCUCAGGCUAGGCCAUAUCUAGGCCUAUCAGGGAAGUUGGUCUCUUCAUGAGCCCCCCUGCACAGACGUCUAAAUGUCCAGAGUCCCAACAGAAUAACAAAGGGUUAAAAACCAUCUCCAUAUUGAAGCAGGCCGAGCUGAAGGCUGACUUCUAGGGUGCCCUAGAAUGGUGGAAGCUGCACACACCUGACACCACCUAGCAGAGUUGGCUUCCAGAGGAACCUUUCGGGGCCAUAGGCUUGCAGGCCUACCUGGCCAGGCAGAUGAUCCAAAUCUGCCUGAGAGGCAUGAGGUGAGGAGCUGGUGCUGGAGGGUAUGGUGGCCCUGCCAGGGAGCAUCUGUGGUUCCAGCGGCUGCAGCAAGCAGAAUGGAGGCCUGGGGCUGCAAGACGUUUUGAAGAGACACAGGAAUCAGCAUUUUUGUACAUGAUCUUGGGUGUGUGUGUGUGUGUGUGUGUGUGUGUGUGUGUGUGUUAAACACUGGAGUCAUAAAACUUCAGAUUAAAAGAAAAACUGCAGAACAUAAAACAAAACCCACCUGCAGCUCAGGGCUGGCCUGCAGGCCGCCUGUGACUGGUGCAAUUUCCCACCUGUGCUGCCCGUGACCAUGGUAAGUCUCCACUGCACACCCCACGGACACAGUCUCAGUCUGUGGCUGCAGCCCCGAGUGUCACAGAGGUCCCUCCCCAUUGCCAGGGCUGUCUGACCCUGAGUCUGUGAGCUCCUGUGGGACAGGCGUCAGCUUCUUGACCUGGUUUUCCUUCAUAACUGCUCUCUGAGGGUAGUGGCUGGCCAGAGAUCCUUUGCCGAAUGGAUCCUGGAAUCCAGCCCUGGUCCCUAGGCCUCUCCCCACUAGAGCUACUUGUCAUUGGCAGGCUGGCCACCAGGCCAUGCUCUUCUUCCCUUGACUUUCUGUCCCAGGCCUGGAAGGAAGCAUCCAGAAGACUCCUCCUAGCACCACAGGACCCAGAGAGCAAGACAACAGAGCAGCAGGGUCACACCCUGGCUUGCAGGGCCAGCUUCUGGCAACUGCCACAGGCCUGCCACACUCAGCCAUGAAGAAAGAAGGGAUUUCUUUUCCCACACAGAAACACCCCAAGCAGGAACAGAAACAGAUCUUUUGUGCCCACCAAUAUGUGUCUGUCUUGCCCAGCCUGUCAUUGUCCAGGGCUGUGGGUAGUGGAGGAGCCACUGGUUCUUGACUAGUUCUGCAGAAGCCCUGGGUCAAAGGCCUCCGCUGACAGCAUCCAGAAGUGUGUGCUUCUCCAUCCUGGCCACACUCUCAAAUCACUGGCGGAAAGGGCAUGGGAGAACACAGUGAGAAGACAGCAGUCUGAGAGCCCGGAAGAGCGCCCUCACCAGAAACCAAAUGUGUCAGCACCUUGCUCAGGGACUUCCAGCCUCCGGAACUGUGAGGAAACAAAAUGUCUGUUUUGGAGCCGCCCAGGCUGUGGGGUUUUGGUAAGGCAGCCUGAGCAGACUAAUGCAACAGCCUCAACAAAACUGCAAUCGAUGAGAAAAAAACAGUGGGCUUGAAGAAAAAAAUGAAUUCCAGUCAAAAUCUCAACAGUUUCAUUUGGGAGCUUCACUCCUCAGCCAGUGAGACCAGGAACCUACCAGAAGAAAGAAACUCCAAACGCAUCUGAAGGUCGGAAGGAGCAAACUCUGGACACGCUGCUUUUAAGAACUGUAACACCAUGAGGGUCUGCGGCUUCAUUCUUGAAACCAGUGAGAUCAAGAACCCACCAAUUACAAACACAACACCUCAACAACACCUCAUGAGCAGGCCCUUCCUGACGCCCUUGACUCCGGCCUGUCCUGAGGCAUGCAGAUGCCACUCACCUCCAAGUUCUCCAGAACCUCUGGGACAC